UUAGCUCUCAUCUGAAAUACUAUAGACAAACAACAACAAAAUUGCUGAUCCCAGUAAACUUAUUUUGCAGACUUUCAUGUAUAAGGAGACUUCUUAACAUGUUCCAUUUUAAAAUUGUAUCAAAAAUCACAUCUUAAAGUUUCUUAGCCUAUGCAUCCUGUAGUAAACCUAUGGAGCACUGUGUUCAUAGCAGUCACAUAUUGCCUUACAUACCUCAUUGUGGUACUGUAAACCCUCUGCUGUAGGACGUUACCAAAUAACAGCAUUAUCUUUACAUCUUAGAGCAGUUCUGUGGUAUAAUUGGUUAAGUUUAACUUGUAAAUGUUUAAAUGUGUCCUUCGUUCACAGAGAACAUCUUAAUACUUAAAAUAGAUUAAAUACAAUGCCACUUUUAAAUGCCAGAGAUAUUUCCUUAAAUGUACAUCCACAGAUGAUGAAUAGGGAUGUUGUAAUAGUUUAUAUGUUGUUGACUAGGUAACAGGCCCAGCCUGUUCUCGGUACAGUCAUUUGCACAGACGAUAUAUCCCAGUUUACAGAUCCAUUAGAACAGACCUUUGACGUACACCAGAAAAAGACUUUCUCACCAGCAGAACCACCACAGCCACAACAGUGCCACCUAGAACCAGCCCAACAACCAGCGCGGUGUAAUUUGUAGCAGCUACUGCAAAGAAAUAAAGAAGACCAUGGGACAGGAUGUUUUGAACGCAGAGUCAAUGACCAUAAAAUGGCAUAAAAGGCACAUUAAGGUCUUUGCAAGCCACUAAGAGCAUUAGGUUUCAAAUUAUCCUUUGAGAUAAAAAAUGGACCAGGGUAUUUUAUUUGAACAUAGCAUCUUAAUGCCUAAUUGUUGUACCCAUAGAAACCAAUAAACUGAAAAAGGUAUCUGUUUUUAAGGACUCCUCUGCCCCUG